rnacentral:rRNA from 1 species
UACCAGCACCCCGAGUGGUCGGGACGUUUAUUGGGCCUAAAGCAUCCGUAGCCGGUUCUGCAAGUCUUCCGUUAAAUCCACCUGCUUAACAGAUGGGCCGCGGAAGAUACUAUAGAGCUAGGAGGCGGGAGAGGCAAGCGGUACUCGAUGGGUAGGGGUAAAAUCCGUUGAUCCAUUGAAGACCACCAGUGGCGAAGGCGGCUUGCCAGAACGCGCUCGACGGUGAGGGAUGAAAGCUGGGGG